AGUGAAUAGAUACCCCGGUAGUCCUAGCCGUAAACGAUACUCGCUAGGUGUCGGCCACGGUGCGACCGUUGUCGGUGCCGUAGGGAAAGCCGUGAAGCGAGCCACCUGGGAAGUACGGCCGCAAGGCUGAAACUUAAAGGAAUUGGCGGGGGAGCACCACAACGGGUGGAGCUUGCGGUUUAAUUGGAUUCAACGCCGGAAAUCUUACCGGGACCGACAGCGAUAUGAAGGCCAGGCUGAAGACUUUGCCGGAUUAGCUGAGAGGUGGUGCAUGGCCGUCGUCAGUUCGUACUGUGAAAGCAUCCUGUUAAGUACAGGCAACGAAGCGAGACCCACGCCACCAGUUGUCCAGCGUACUCUCCGGACGUGACGGGUACGACUGU
rnacentral:rRNA from 1 species